UAAUUUUAUGCAGCCAACUGAGGCACUAUUUUCAUUUCUGAAUUCUCAAUCAAGCCCUGAGGCAAAAUGAUCCUGUUUCUUAGCAACCCAGAUGGGCAGAGCCAGAUUAUACAUUUGAGCUCUUUUGUACAACAAAAGAAUAAAUAGCUCCCAGAAUAAACAUGUGCUGUGAGUUCAUCUCUUUGCUCAGCGUCCCCUAGCACUGUAGAGAAGAGAAGCCCGGCUGUGUGAUACAACACGUGAAGCUGGGCAGAGAAACCUGACUUUACAGAGUGGGGUUAAAAUACCUGUGAGGAAAAAUCCCAUAAUGCUCACCACUAGCUACAAAGGCAGACAGCCCACCUUCUCUUUUGAAAGACAAAUCAAAUUUUCUGCAUGCCUGGAUUUGGCCUUUGCACAGAAUCAAAGUUUUGUGCAGCAGCUCCGAGCCACCCCGCAGAGAGAUAUAUGGCAAAAGCAGCCUCCUGAUUUUAGCUACAAAUUCUAUAAAUCUUCUAGGCCUUCACGAAAACCACUAGAAAAGGAAAAGGAAGAUUUGAAGAAGGCCAAUAGCACUGAGACUAAGCAACAGCUGCCAAAGAUAAAGACCAGCCAGUUCCACACUGCUUCGGAAAGGAAGAAAGAGUUGCCCAAGAUUGUCACAAGGUUUCCACACGUGGGCUCAUAUGAAGUGGAUAUAAUGUUUGUGGAGAAUGGAAAAUAUAAGACUGGCAUAUACCAAGAUCCCAAACCACAUGAUUUUAGGCAGAGAGGAAGGCUUUUUCCUCACAUCUCUGCCUCUGCCACUGACAGACAGAAAACAUAUGCACCCGGCCACCCUGAUUCCAACCUUGCACUGAGAGUCAGCUCCUGCUAAGAGGUAAGUAUCCUCAGCACCCUUUGGCAUCAGGAUCAGGAUCAGGCCCAGGGGGAGUGAUGAUUCCCCACUCUAACAGUCUGAGGAAUGCAGAACUAAGCGUCUAAGGGUAUGUUUCAGUGCUUAAUUUGUGCCAGUAAGCUUGCCAGGGCUGAGUCCCAGCCCCUCUAGCACUUGGCAGUUCAUAGCCCCGGCACCUCGGGGCUUGCUGCAUCUGUUAUGAAUGUAAAAAAAAUUGCUUGAGCCCCGGCA
rnacentral:lncRNA from 1 species